GCUCCGGUGGCCAAGUAGUUAGAGCGUCCGCCUUGAAUGCGGGAGGUCGCAGGCUCGAACCCCGGCUGGGUCA